AUGGUGUAUCUUGGUCAUGUUUUUGUUGCAUCUUGGUCAUGUUUUUGUUGCAUCUUGGUCAUGGUGUACCUUGGUCAUGGUGUACCUUGGUCAUGGUGUACCUUGGUAAUGUUUAUGGUGUAUCUUGGUCAUGUUUUGUUGCAUCUUGGUCAUGGUGUACCUUGGUCAUGGUGUAUCUUGGUAAUGUUUAUGGUGCAUCUUGGUCAUGUUUUUUGUUCAUGUUUUUGUUGCGUAUUUGUCACGUUCAACACAUUUUUCUUACGUUUGUCAUAUUUUUGCGGUUCAUCACAGUUAAAUUACACUAAAAAACUAAAUGCGGCCAAAAACACUACAAAAAAAAAGCAAUGAAAAUGUGACAAAAAUACUUACAAUGAGCAACAAAAAGAUGAGUUUUGUCGGCCUUAGCUUUCAAAUGAGCUUUUACACUGGCCUAUAGGCUGUGAGCUCUCAGGUCAGGACGCUUUAAGACUCGAGUAAUGCUGAACUGGAGAAAAAGUGCUCGGUUACGGGUCUGUGCCACAUGUUGGUGUUUUGGUGUCCAGCAAACUUUAAACAAUAUUUAUUUAUCUUGCAGAUUCCACGGGGGAAAAGAACAAGAAUUUUACUUGAACUGAAGUGAACCACUGCGCAGACGGGUAAACACGCCGCUAUCCUACCACCCAGAGUUAAUGUGAUCGACAAACGUUUACAUAGAUCGAAUCUCCUUCAUUUUCAAGAAUAUAUGUAGAAAUAUUUACACGUGUGUUGCCUCUGAGACGGAUUGCCGUACCAUUCCAGUCAAACAGUCCUGGGUGAACAAAGGUCCUUCCGAUGGCACAUGAUCGGUUUGAGUGUCUGCACGUUUGCCGACGUGUCAGUGCGUGGGCCCCUCUGCGCCGAGCAGGAGGUUUCUACAGUCCGAGGGUUGCAUUUAUGGAUAAGUAUCUCUCGUGUGUUGAGAAGCUCAGAUCAAGUGAGUGCUCGAUCGGCUGAACGUGUGGUACUUCCGCUCGAACAUUGACGGUAGAUGGACCAUAGACGGAGAGUGGUGGCGAGCCUGAGGAGGAAAACAGACACAGGAAAGACAAUUACUUUUUUGUUUGGUAAAGAUUUCAAGAGAAAAAUCGGGAUUAGAAGAGACUCCCACACCAAACUCCACUGUGAAAAAUGACAUUUCAGAUAGGACUUCUCUUAAUUAUUAGUAGCAAUUCCUUUUCUUUUCAAGGCAAAGCAAAUAAUUUGUGAGGACAUAAAGCAUUGAAAUAUGUUCAUGUAAGAUUGCGAAAGUCUGAAAAAAGAAGUCAUCUGGACAGGUUUGUUUGAGUACUUCACGUUUGUUGAUAAUUUUUCAUUGAUGUCCCUUUUAUCGUGACUGUUUAAAAUGACGGUGACAAGCUAAAUAUUGCUCUUUGGUGAUGAGGCGUUUGAGAGUUUUCACUGGGUAGAUGAAAAUGUUCGAAAGCGGUCUGUGGGACGUUCACAAUCAAGGCUUGAGCGCUUGAACUGCAGGACAGAGCCGUGACAGAGCUGCCGUCUGGAAAUCACGUCUACUCACACGCUGCACCCACUCGCUCUUUCUCCCCCCGCGUUAGAGUCUGAGCUGCUGACAGUGCCAGUGAUGUCACAGGGACUUUAUCUUUUCUCAGGACAAAGUGUAUUUUCUCCCUAAUUAAACACAGUAGUGGUAUGAACGGAGAAAGCAUGUGAUGAUCGAAUGUGCAGACGGCACAGUUAACAACCUCGAAUCGAUGAACAACAGAUAAGGAAACGCUCCGUUCAUAAUCAUGGCAUUUCUGUCUACUGUGAGUGUAACCUGUGUCAGGUUACACUCAGUGUCAGCUUGAUACAACCAAUGGCCGCUGGCUGCUCUGCUUUGCGACGACGAC
ensembl:lncRNA